rnacentral:rRNA from 1 species
AUACGGAGGAUCCGAGCGUUAUCCGGAUUUAUUGGGUUUAAAGGGUGCGUAGGUGGUUUGAUAAGUCAGCGGUGAAAGUUUGCAGCUUAACUGUAAAAAUGCCGUUGAAACUGUCGGACUUGAGUGUAAAUGAGGUAGGCGGAAUGAGUGGUGUAGCGGUGAAAUGCUUAGAUAUCACUCAGAACACCGAUUGCGAAGGCAUCUGACGAAUCCGUCACUGACGCUGAGGCACGAAAGCGUGGGGAUAGAACAGGAUUAGAUACCCUGGUAUUCCACGCAGUAAACGAUGAUUACUAGCUGUUUGCGAUACACAGUAAGCGGCACAGCGAAAGCGUUAAGUAAUCCACCUGGGGAGUACGCCGGCAACGGUGAAACUCAAAUGAAUUGACGGGG